UUGUCCCGGCGGGCUGCCUCAGAUGCCGCCGGAAGGGUUCCGGCCGAGUGCCUGAAGUAGCACAGCAGGAACGGUUGGCCCCAGAGCUCGAGUGUGGAGCGCAGCUGUACGCGACAAGGCGGUACUCGCCCUGUAUGUAGCCUAGUUAUCGUGUAUCUGUCUCAGUCUCGUGAGAAUUAUUUCACAUUUGUAAAGACUUCCCUGGUGGUACAGUGGUUAACAGUCUGCCUGCCAAUGCAAGGGACACGGGUUCAAGUCCUGGUCCGGGAAGAUCCCACGUGCUGCAGAGCUACUAAGCCCGUGUGCCACAACUACUGAGCCUGCAUGCCACAACUACUGAGGCUGCAUGCCACAACUACUGAAGCCCACGCACCUAGAGCCCGUGCUCCGCAACAAGAGAAGCCACUGCAAUGAGAAGCCAGCGCACCGCAAGGAAGAGUAGCCCCCGCUCGCUGCAACUAGAGAAAGCCCACGCACAGCAACAAAGACCCAAUGCAGCCAAAGAUAAAUAAAUAAAUUUAUAAAAAAAAGAAAAAAA